CUUCAAUUUCCCCCCCCCCCCUGAGUUAGCCUUCCAGUUUAUUUAUAGUUCAAUGGUUGCAACAGCAUAUGCCAAUGCCAAUUACUGUGGGCCCUUAUUUACCUAACCCACCCUGUCAACUUUCCCUGUGGGAGGAAACACGGAGUACCCGGAGAAAACCCACGACUUUCGGCAGAGCGUUGACUUUUACUCUUUUCACAUGAGGACUGGGUUCGAGUCACAUUGAGAAAGUUUUCAUUGAGGCUUGAACCUGCGGCCUUAGAGGUGAAAGGCAAGUGCGCUAACCACUUGGCCACCG